rnacentral:rRNA from 1 species
GACGAACGCUGGCGGCGUGCUUAACACAUGCAAGUCGAACGGAAAGGCCCUGCUUUUGUGGGGUGCUCGAGUGGCGAACGGGUGAGUAACACGUGAGUAACCUGCCCUUGACUUUGGGAUAACUUCAGGAAACUGGGGCUACUACCGGAUAGGAGCUCCUGCUGCAUGGUGGGGGUUGGAAAGUUUCGGCGGUUGGGGAUGGACUCGCGGCUUAUCAGCUUGUUGGUGGGGUAGUGGCUUACCAAGGCUUUGACGGGUAGCCGGCCUGAGAGGGUGACCGGCCACAUUGGGCCUGAGAUACGGCCCAGACUCCUACGGGAGGCAGUAGUGGGGAAUAUUGCACAAUGGGCGGAAGCCUGAUGCAGCAACGCCGCGUGCGGGAUGACGGCCUUCGGGUUGUAAACCGCUUUCGCCUGUGACGAAGCGUGAGUGACGGUAAUGGGUAAAGAAGCACCGGCUAACUACGUG